rnacentral:rRNA from 1 species
AAGAACGCUGGCGGCGUGCUUAACCCCUGCAAGUCGAACGGAAAGGCCCUGCUUUUGUGGGGUGCUCGAGUGGCGAACGGGUGAGUAACACGUGAGUAACCUCCCCUUGACUUUGGGAUAACUUCAGGAAACUGGGGCUAAUACCGGAUAGGAGCUCCUGCUGCAUGGUGGGGGUUGGAAAGUUUCGGUGGUUGGGGAUGGACUCGCGGGUUAUCUGCUUGUUGGUGGGGUAGUGGCUUACCAAGGCUUUGACUGGUAGCCGUCCUGAGAGGGUGACCGGCCACAUUGGGACUGAGAUACGGCCCAGACUCCUACGGGAGGCAGAAGUGGGGAAUAUUGCACAAUGGGCGGAAGCCUGAUGCAGCAACGCCGCGUGCGUGAUGACGGCCUUCGGGUUGUAAACCGCUUUCGCCUGUGACGAAGCGUGAGUGACGGUAAUGGGUAAAGAAGCACCGGCUAACUACGUG